UUAAUUGAGAAUUUGAUCUUAGUUCAGAUUGAAUGCUGACAGUGUGGAUGAGGCAUGCAAGUCGUACGGGUAUAUUUUGAGUAGUUUACUAUUCGAGAUGUACUAGUGGCGAAAGGGUUAGUAAUACAUGAAUAAUCUACCUUUUGUUUUAGAAUAACAACUGGAAACAGUUGCUAAUACUAAAUGAGGAUAUGAAAAGGCAUCUUUUUAUAUUCAAAGUUGGGGAUCUUCGGACCUAGCGAUAAAAGAAGAGUUCAUGGGAUAUCAGCUUGUUGGUGAGGUAAAAGCUCACCAAGGCUAAGACGUCUAGGCGGACUGAGAGGUUGACCGCCAACAUUGGGACUGAGACACUGCCCAAACUCCUACGGGAGGCUGCAGUCGAGAAUCAUUCGCAAUGGGCGAAAGCCUGACGAUGCGACACUGUGUGAACGAAGAAGGCCUUCGGGUUGUAAAGUUCUUUCGCCUGGGACCAAGAAAGGAUGAUAAAUAAUUGUCCAAUUUGAGUGUACUAGGUAAAGAAGCACCGGCUAACUCCGUGCCAGCAGCUGCGGUAAUACGGAGGGUGCAAGCAUUAAUCGGAAUUAUUGGGCGUAAAGAGCGCGUAGGCUGCCUAGUAAGUCAGUGGUGAAAUUUCAAAGCUUAACUUUGAAGCUGUUACUGAAACUAUUAGGCUAAGAGGGUAGAUGGAGAAAAUGGAAUUCCACAUGUAGCGGUGAAAUGUGUAGAUAUGUGGAGGAACAUCGGUGGCGAAAGCGGUUUUCUAGUUUACAUCUGACGCUGAGGCGCGAAAGCGAGGGGAGCAAACAGGAUUAGAUACCCUGGUAGUCCUCGCUGUAAACGAUGUAUACUUGACGUAGUCAGCCUCAACCCUGGCUGUGUCGAAGCUAACGCGAUAAGUAUACCGCCUGAGGAGUACGCUCGCAAGGGUGAAACUCAAAAGAAUUGACGGGGACCCGCACAAGCAGUGGUGCAUGUGGUUUAAUUCGAUGCAACGCGAAGAACCUUACCCAGGUUUGACAUGCAGAGGACAUUAUUAGAGAUAAUAACUUUCGAAAGAACCUCUGUGCAGGUGCUGCAUGGCUGUCGUCAGCUCGUGCCGUGAGGUGUUGGGUUAAGUCCCGCAACGAGCGCAACCCUUAUCGUUAGUUGCCAGCAUGAAAGAUGGGGACUCUAACGAGACUGCCUGGGUUAACCAGGAGGAAGGUGAGGAUGACGUCAAGUCCGCAUGGCCCUUAUGUCUGGGGCUACACACGUGCAACAAUGGUUGGUACAGAAGGCGGCAAAACCGAGAGGUGGAGCAAAUCCUAAAAAGCCAAUCUCAGUUCGGAUUGUAGUCUGCAACUCGACUACAUGAAGUUGGAAUUGCUAGUAAUGGCGUGUCAGCAACAACGCCGUGAAUACGUUCCCGGGUCUUGUACACACCGCCCGUCACAUCAUGGAAGUUGGUUUUGCCCGAAGUCGCUGACUCUUUUUGAGAGGCGCCUAAGGCAAGGCUGAUGACUGGGAUGAAGUCGUAACAAGGUAGCCCUAUCGGAAGGUGGGGCUGGAUCACCUCCUUU
rfam:Chlamydiae bacterium SM23_39 WORSMTZ_938, whole genome shotgun sequence.